GACGAACGCUGGCGGCGUGCUUAACACAUGCCAGUCGAACGGAAAGGCCCUGCUUUUGUGGGGUGCUCGAGUGGCGAACGGGUGAGUAACACGUGAGUAACCUGCCCUUGACUUUGGGAUAACUUCAGGAAACUGGGGCUAAUACCGGAUAGGAGCUCCUGCUGCAUGGUGGGGGUUGGAAAGUUUCGGCGGUUGGGGAUGGACUCGCGGCUUAUCAGCUUGUUGGUGGGGUAGUGGCUUACCAAGGCUUUGACGGGUAGCCGGCCUGAGAGGGUAACCGGCCUCAUUAGGACUAGGAGACGGCCCAGACUCCUACUGGAGGCAGCAGUGGGGAAUAUUGCACAAUGGGCGGAAGCCAGAUGCAGCAACGCCGCGUGCGGGAUGACGGCCUUCGGGUUGUAAACCGCUUUCGCCUGUGACGAAGCGUGAGUGACGGUAAUGGGUAAAGAAGCACCGGCUAACUACGUG
rnacentral:rRNA from 1 species